UACAGGGGGGGCAAGCGUUGUUCGGAAUUACUGGGCGUAAAGCGUGCGCAGGCGGUUUGUUAAGUCCGCUGUGAAAUCCCCGAGCUCAACUUGGGAAUUGCAGUGGAUACUGGCAAGCUGGAGUAUGGUAGAGGAAGGUGGAAUUCCCGGUGUAGCAGUGAAAUGCGUAGAGAUCGGGAGGAACACCAGUGGCGAAGGCGGCCUUCUGGACCAAUACUGACGCUCAUGCACGAAAGCGUGGGGAGCAAACAGG
rnacentral:rRNA from 1 species